rnacentral:rRNA from 1 species
GAUGAACGCUGGCGGCGUGCCUAAUACAUGCAAGUCGAGCGAACAGACGAGGAGCUUGCUCCUCUGACGUUAGCGGCGGACGGGUGAGUAACACGUGGAUAACCUACCUAUAAGACUGGGAUAACUUCGGGAAACCGGAGCUAAUACCGGAUAAUAUAUUGAACCGCAUGGUUCAAUAGUGAAAGACGGUUUUGCCGUCACUUAUAGAUGGAUCCGCGCCGCAUUAGCUAGUUGGUAAGGUAACAGCUUACCAAGGCAACGAUGCGUAGCCGACCUGAGAGGGUGAUAGGCCACACUGGAGCGGAGACACGGUCCAGACUCCUACGGGAGGCAGCAGUAGGGAAUCUUCCGCAAUGGGCGAAAGCCUGACGGAGCAACGCCGCGUGAGUGAUGAAGGUCUUCGGAUCGUAAAACUCUGUUAUUAGGGAAGAACAAAUGUGUAAGUAACUAUGCACGUCUUGACGGUACCUAAUCAGAAAGCCACGGCUAACUACGUG